UACGUAGGGAGCAAGCGUUGUCCGGAAUCAUUGGGCGUAAAGCGCGCGUAGGUGGCUUCGUAAGUCCGUUGUGAAAGUCAAAGGCUCAACCUUUGAAAGCCGAUGGAUACUGCGGAGCUAGAGUACGGAAGAGGCGAGUGGAAUUCCUGGUGUAGCGGUGGAAUGCGCAGAUAUCAGGAGGAACACCGGUGGCGAAGGCGGGACUCUGGGCCGAUACUGACGCUGAGGAGCGAAAGCGUGGGGAGCAAAGCAGG
rnacentral:rRNA from 1 species